UCACACCGAAUUAAUAAGUAUUAUUGUUUAUAAAACAUAAGCUAUUCUGAAAUACUGCGUAAGAGACAAAAUAUUUACAGUUGGUAAAACUCAGAUGUUUACUUCGUGGCACUUGGUUACCAGAAAGGCGAGAAUUUAGCUCUGUAGGUUUUAAAUAUCAGUACAUCAAUACGUCACCUUCGUUCCUUAGCGGCUCUGUGCUUCACGUUGUCACGGUUGCUAGGCAACAUGAGUUAUUCUGGUGGACGCUAGACAGCUAGCUGAAGGCUAGGCCUGUCGCGGCCUGCGAAGGAACCCCGUCCUGCCUAAACCGGGUCUUUCGAAGGACCAGACCCUGAGAAGGACCAGACCCUGAAAUCGGACACGAUUUAAGUAACACAAAACAGAGUCAGUUAGAAGUUGUUUUGAUUUGAAUUUGACCACGGCUAGUUACGUCGCCAUGGUUACUCGAAAUGCCAACAGAAGUAAUAGCCUGCAUGCCGAGAUCCAGCCGCAUGUUUUGAUAUACAUAUAGUAUAUUGUGGGGGUGCACGCAGCAGUACCAGACGCAUUAUUGGUGAAAGGAAGCGGCAGUUAUUUUGAGGGGUAGAGUGAUAGGCGCUUUCCAUGCAUUGCUACGACAGGCUCCAAUCAAUUUUUGUCUUUCAAAAAUAGAAUAGCUGAGACCAAAGCAGGCUGAAGGCCAGUUUUGGUAGAAAGAGAGAGAAAAGAGUCAAACGAUAAAUCAAGCAAAUGAAAAUUAUUGAGUUUGUUUUAUUUUAUCAUGCAAUUAAUUGAACCAAGGUUUGCUUGAUAUAGUGAAGAGAAGACCCAAGUCAAACAAAAAGAAAAAAGGUUUAAAAUCCAUUUAUGAAAAACCGUCAGAAAUGACAAACCUAAAAAGACUUCUACUUCUGCUGCUUGCAGGUAUCUGCAGGUUAAAUGCGUAAAUAAGAAAUGGCAGCUAUAAGAAGAAAAAAAAAGAGAAAACAAAACAGAAAAAGAGAAAACUAGCUGCUUAUAUUAAAUAUUUAGCAAUACUGCUCUGUUUCUGGAAAUGACAGAAUCAGCUAAAAUCUGUCUGCUUUCCACCGCUCUGAGGAGUUCUUCAAACUCACCGUCCGAUAUCACAUCUUUCCACCAAAAGCUUGGCAGCCAGUCCGACGCGCAGUCCUCAUUAGCCGCCUCUGCUAAUCAGCCAGAGGAUAAUUACAGAGAUACUUCCUCCAUUUCUGGAAGCAGCCGAUGAAGGAGCGCUGUAGUUGCGGUAAUGUCCUGCCUCCAUCGCCGAUGUGGAUGGGGGAAACAGAAUCUCAUCUGGGAAGUGGAACACCCUGGUCGUAGCCCACCAAGGCCUUUUUCUAGGAACCCAG